GUUAGCCAGGAUGGUCUCGAUCUCCUGACCUCGUGAUCCGCCCACCUCGGCCUCCCAAAGUGCUGGGAUUACAGGCGUGAGCCACCGUGCCGGGCUCAUUAUCCCCAUUUCCUAAGGGAGGAAACCAAGGCGCAGGGAGGCUAAGUAACGUGCUCAUGGUCCCUCAGGGUUAAGUGGCAGAAUCAGAAAAGAACUAGAAGGAAAGGAGAUACAAGUCACCAUUUUUCUGUACACCCAGAGGGAAUCCAGGAGGGACCCUGGAUGGAGGGGCUGUCGUCUUUUGAGGCUCAUUGUGCUGGGGUGUGACUCCUCUUGGGCCUGCUGCAGCCUCCACCCCGUCUCCCUGCUGCACGUCUCCUAGCAGUGGCCUCUGUCCUCUUAACUGUGCAGCCAGAUGGGACCUGCUCAGCUCCAGGUGAAAUGGACAGAAGGCCCCAUCCCUGCCUGGUUUGAGGAUUGGGAAGGGUUCCUGGAGGAAAACAUGCUUAAUUGGAGACCUGAAAGAGGACUAGGAGACAGGCAGGUGAAGAGGUGUGGGCAAAGACCUGAGGGUACUGGGUGCGCCAGGGUCGUCUUCUCUGAAUACUCCAAGAAAUGAGUGUCCAGCAUGGAUGUGAAGGAACGUUUUCUACGCCUGGAGUUUCAAGAUGCCGCUGGGGAAAGCGGAGGCUGCUAGCAAACACCAUUUUGGAGGGGGGCUCUAUGUAGAAGAAAAGUAUCCUAGCUUAGAGGUCGGAACUCAGAUUUUCUAAAGGGGAUUCAGGUGGCCAGAGGACAGUAGAGGCCCAGAAAGGAGGUCCCCAAGAAGGGGUGGGGCAUGAGGGGAUCCUCAGGCCGACUGGGGAGCUGAACCUGUUGUAACCGAGCGAGUUAGAAACGCCACACUUCGAGAUGAAUUCAGGAGUCCUUUAUUAGCCGGCGACCGAGAGACGGUUAGUGCUCAAAAUUCUCUCAGACCCGAAGAAGGGGCUUGAUUUUCUUCUAUACUUUGCUUUAGAAAGGGGAGGGGGCAGGGUCUAGUUAAAAUAAUCUUACAGAAGUAAAGCAGGCAAAAAGUUAAAAGGAUAAAUGGUUACAGGAAGGCAAACCGUUCCAGGUGCAGGGGCUUUAAAUCUAUCACAAGGUGAAAGACACGGGGCUUUGGGCGUUACCAACCGGACACAAACACGGGGGCUCUGGGUACUAUUAACCAGGAGAAUUCCUGGGAACUGCGGAUAAAGCUUGCCACAGUAUCUUCUCAGUUAAUUGCAUUCUUGGAUGUGCUGGGAGUCAGCUUGCACAAGUCCUUGAGGAAGGAGGGUGGGUAAACGGCUGCAAAUGAAGUGAGCCAAGAUGGAGUCUGUCUGGCUCUCUUAGCAAAGGGAGAGUCAAUUCAGGCUAAAACAAGGUAGGGUAUCACAAGCCCACUUAACAAGAGCAGCAGGACCCCAAGAAGAAGAGCUUUAGGCAUCUCCACAGUGGGCCCAGGGCAGUUCCACACAGGUCUCUGAGACCCCACAGACAGGAGAGCUGUGACGACUCCUAGUGCCCAAGAAAGCAAGGAGGUGGUGGGCGAGAGACUCCCAGAGGC
rnacentral:lncRNA from 1 species